UGGGGAAUAUUGCACAAUGGGGGAACCCUGAUGCAGCGACGCCGCGUGCAGGAAGAAGGUUUUCGGAUUGUAAACUGCUUUAGACAGGGAAGAAACAAGACAGUACCUGUAGAAUAAGCUCCGGCUAACUACGUGCCAGCAGCCGCGGUAAUACGUAGGGAGCAAGCGUUAUCCGGAUUUAUUGGGUGUAAAGGGUGCGUAGACGGGGAAUGCAAGUUGGUUGUGAAAUCCCCUCGGCUCAACCGAGGAAUUGCAACCAAAACUAUAUUUCUUGAGUGCUGGAGAGGAAAGUGGAAUUCCUAGUGUAGCGGUGAAAUGCGUAGAUAUUAGGAGGAACACCAGUGGCGAAGGCGACUUUCUGGACAGUAACUGACGUUGAAGCACGAAAGUGUGGGGAGCAAACAGGAUUAGAUACCC
rnacentral:rRNA from 1 species